rnacentral:rRNA from 1 species
CCUACGGGAGGCUGCAGUGGGGAAUAUUGGACAAUGGGGGGAACCCUGAUCCAGCCAUGCCGCGUGUGUGAAGAAGGCCCUCGGGUUGUAAAGCACUUUCAGUGAGGAAGAACGCCUGGUGGUUAAUACCCAUCAGGAAAGACAUCACUCACAGAAGAAGCACCGGCUAACUCCGUGCCAGCAGCCGCGGUAAUACGGAGGGUGCGAGCGUUAAUCGGAAUUACUGGGCGUAAAGCGCGCGUAGGUGGCUUGAUAAGCCGGUUGUGAAAGCCCCGGGCUCAACCUGGGAACGGCAUCCGGAACUGUCAAGCUAGAGUGCAGGAGAGGAAGGUAGAAUUCCCGGUGUAGCGGUGACAUGCGUAGAGAUCGGGAGGAAUACCAGUGGCGAAGGCGGCCUUCUGGACUGACACUGACACUGAGGUGCGAAAGCGUGGGUAGCAAACAGGAUUAGAUACCCCAGUAGUC